rnacentral:rRNA from 1 species
AACGAACGCUGGCGGCGCGCCUAAUACAUGCAAGUCGAGCGAGAAGGUGUAGCAAUACACUUGUAAAGCGGCGAACGGGUGAGGAAUGCAUGGGUAACCUACCCUCGAGUGGGGAAUAACUAGCCGAAAGGUUAGCUAAUACCGCAUACGUUUCCGGACCUUCGGUUUCGGAAAGAAAGCAAUACCGUGGGUAUUGCGCUCCUGGAUGGGCUCAUGUCCUAUCAGCUUGUUGGUGAGGUAACGGCUCACCAAGGCUUCGACGGGUAGCUGGUCUGAGAGGACGAUCAGCCACACUGGCACUGCGACACGGGCCAGACUCCUACGGGAGGCAGCAGUAAGGAAUAUUGCGCAAUGGACGAAAGUCUGACGCAGCGACGCCGCGUGGGGGAUGAAGGUCUUCGGAUUUGGUAAACCCCUUUCGGGAGGGAAGAUGGAGUGGGUAACCACUUGGACGGUACCUCCAGAAGCAGCCACGGCUAACUCGUGCCAGCAGCCGCGGUAAU